UACGUAGGUGGCAAGCGUUGUCCGGAUUUAUUGGGUUUAAAGGGUGCGUAGGCGGUUCUAUAAGUCAGUGGUGAAAUACGGCAGCUCAACUGUCGAGGUGCCAUUGAUACUGAAGAACUUGAGUACAGACGAGGUAGGCGGAAUUGACGGUGUAGCGGUGAAAUGCUUAGAUAUCGGGAGGAACACCGGUGGCGAAGGCGGCCCCCUGGUUGGAUACUGACGCUGAGACGCGAAAGCGUGGGGAGCAAACAGG
rnacentral:rRNA from 1 species